GGUUGAUCCUGGCUCAGACGGUCGCAACUGGUAACCAUAGAGUUUGAUCCUGGCUCAGUAAUAGUUGGCGAGGUAACGGCUCAGCUAGGCGACGAUGCGGAGCCGACCUGAGAGGGUGAUCGGCCACACUGGGACUUGAGACCCGGUCCAGUCUCCUACGGGAGGCAGCAGUAGGGGAAUCUGGGACCAUGGGCGAAAGGCUGAUGGAGCAACGCCGCGUGAGGUGAAGAAGGUUUUCGGAUCGUAAAACUCUGUUGUAAGGGAAGAACAAGUACAGUAGUAACUGGCUGUACCUUGACGGUACCUUAUUAGAAAGGCACGGCUAACUACGUGCCAGCAGCCGCGGUAAUACGUAGGUGGCAAGCGUUGUCCGGAAUUAUUUGUGCGUAAAGCGCGCGCAGGCGGUCCUUUAAGUCUGAUGUGAAAGCCCACGCGCUCAACCGUGGAGGGUCAUUGGAAACUGGGGGACUUGAGUGCAGAAGAGGAAAGUGGAAUUCCAAGUGUAGCGGUGAAAUGCGUAGAGAUUUGGAGGAACACCAGUGGCGAAGGCGACUUUCUGGUCUGUAACUGACGCUGAGGCGCGAAAGCGUGGGGAGCAAACAGGAUUAGAUACCCUGGUAGUCCACGCCGUAAACGAUGAGUGCUAAGUGUUAGGGGGUUUCCGCCCCUUAGUGCUGCAGCUAACGCAUUAAGCACUCCGCCUGGGGAGUACGGUCGCAAGACUGAAACUCAAAGGAAUUGACGGGGGCCCGCACAAGCGGUGGAGCAUGUGGGUUUAAUUCGAAGCAACGCGAAGAACCUUACCAGGUCUUGACAUCCCGUUGACCACUGUAGAGAUAUAGUUUCCCCUUCGGGGGCAACGGUGACAGGUGGUGCAUGGUUGUCGUCAGCUCGUGUCGUGAGAUGGUUGGGUUAAGUCCCGCAACGAGCGCAACCCUUGAUCUUAGUUGCCAUCAUUUAGUUGGGCACUCUAAGGUGACUGCCGGUGACAAACCGGAGGAAGGUGGGGAUGACGUCCAAUCAUCAUGCGCCUUAUGGACCUGGGCUACACCACGUGCUACCAUGGGCACGGAUCCAAACGGGUUGCCAACUCGCGAGAGGGAGCUA
rnacentral:rRNA from 1 species